AUGAACGCUGGCGGCGUGCCUAAUCCCUGCAAGUCGAACGCAUAGCGAAAGGUGCUUGCACCUUUCAAGUGAGUGGCGAACGGGUGAGUAACACGUGGACAACCUGCCUCAAGGCUGGGGAUAACAUUUGGAAACAGAUGCUAAUACCGAAUAAAACUUAGUGUCGCAUGACACAAAGUUAAAAGGCGCUUCGGCGUCACCUAGAGAUGGAUCCGCGGUGCAUUAGUUAGUUGGUGGGGUAAAGGCCCACCAAGACAAUGAUGCAUAGCCGAGUUGAGAGACUGAUCGGCCACAUUGGGACUGAGACACGGCCCAAACUCCUACGGGAGGCUGCAGUAGGGAAUCUUCCACAAUGGGCGAAAGCCUGAUGGAGCAACGCCGCGUGUGUGAUGAAGGCUUUCGGGUCGUAAAGCACUGUUGUAUGGGAAGAACAGCUAGAAUAGGAAAUGAUUUUAGUUUGACGGUACCAUACCAGAAAGGGACGGCUAAAUACGUG
rnacentral:rRNA from 1 species